GACGAACGCUGGCGGCGUGCCUAAUACAUGCAAGUCGAGCGGACGAAUCGAAAGCUUGCUUUUGAUUCGUUAGCGGCGGACGGGUGAGUAACACGUGGGCAACCUGCCCUGUAGACGGGGAUAACACCGAGAAAUCGGUGCUAAUACCGGAUAACACGAAAUGUCGCAUGACGUUUCGUUGAAAGACGGCGCAAGCUGCCGCUACAGGAUGGGCCCGCGGCGCAUUAGCUAGUUGGUGAGGUAACGGCUCACCAAGGCGACGAUACGUAGCCGACCUGAGAGGGUGAUCGGCCACACUGGGACUGAGACACGGCCCAGACUCCUACGGGAGGCAGCAGUAGGGAAUCUUCCGCAAUGGACGAAAGUCUGACGGAGCACCGCCGCGUGAGCGAAGAAGGCCUUCGGGUCGUAAAGCUCUGUUGUUAGGGAAGAACAAGUAACGCAGUAACUGGCGUUACCGUGACGGUACCUAACGAGAAAGCCACGGCUAACUACGUG
rnacentral:rRNA from 1 species